GAGUUAAUGAUCAAGUUGCCAGAAAGACAAUAGGACCCUAACCAUAGUGAUUAAUAAUUACUUAGGAGAAAUGUUUUGUUCUCUUAUUUCCAAAAUGUUCACAGACCUGAAAUCCUAUAUAGUUUAACAUGCAUAGCAGUCAUUAAUUGUUGGUGUUUCUUUUUUUUUUCAAUUUGA